rnacentral:rRNA from 1 species
GUGGGGAAUAUUGGACAAUGGGCGAAAGCCUGAUCCAGCCAUGCCGCGUGUGUGAAGAAGGUCUUCGGAUUGUAAAGCACUUUAAGUUGGGAGGAAGGGCAGUAAGUUAAUACCUUGCUGUUUUGACGUUACCGACAGAAUAAGCACCGGCUAACUUCGUGCCAGCAGCCGCGGUAAUACGAAGGGUGCAAGCGUUAAUCGGAAUUACUGGGCGUAAAGCGCGCGUAGGUGGUUUUGUAAGUUGGAGGUGAAAUCCCCGGGCUCAACCUGGGAACUGCCUCCAAAACUGCAUGACUAGAGUACGGUAGAGGGUAGUGGAAUUUCCUGUGUAGCGGUGAAAUGCGUAGAUAUAAGAAGGAACACCAGUGGCGAAGGCGACUACCUGGACUGAUACUGACACUGAGGUGCGAAAGCGUGGGGAGCAAACAGGAUUAGAUACCCCAGUAGUCC